AACGCACAUUGCGCCCUCUGGUAUUCCGGAGGGCAUGCCUGUUCGAGCGUCAUUAUCACCCCUCAAGCCCGGCUUGUUGUUGGACGCGGCGGCGCCUUUACUGCGCCUCGCCCGUCUCAAAGAUAAUGACGGCGUCUGCGAGGACCCCUGUACACUGAGCUUUCGGGCACGUACUAGGUGUGGACUCCAGACCCGGUCACCGUCCCUUUUAGGGACAACUUUUUAACCAGGUUGACCUCGGAUCAGGUAGGAAUACCCGCUGAACUUAA
rnacentral:misc_RNA from 1 species